rnacentral:sRNA from 2 species
AUGCUGCUGUAAUCGACAGACGCCGGAAUCUGGUGAGAAUCCAGAACGGUCGCGCCACUGUGAAAGUCAGACCCUGCGUUUGUCACUCCUUCGAACUGGGACGCGGUAUCCCAGAAAGGAUCUU